rnacentral:rRNA from 1 species
UGGGGAAUAUUGCACAAUGGGCGAAAGCCUGAUGCAGCAACGCCGCGUGAGGGACGACGGCCUUCAGGUUGUAAACCUCUUUUAGCAAGGAAGAAGCGAAAGUGACGGUACUUGCAGAAAAAGCGCCGGCUAACUACGUGCCAGCAGCCGCGGUAAUACGUAGGGCGCAAGCGUUAUCCGGAAUUAUUGGGCGUAAAGAGCUCGUAGGCGGUUUGUCGCGUCUGCUGUGAAAACCCGAGGCUCAACCUCGGGCCUGCAGUGGGUACGGGCAGACUAGAGUGCGGUAGGGGAGAUUGGAACUCCUGGUGUAGCGGUGGAAUGCGCAGAUAUCAGGAAGAACACCGAUGGCGAAGGCAGAUCUCUGGGCCGUAACUGACGCUGAGGAGCGAAAGGGUGGGGAGCAAAACAGGCUUAGAUACCCUGGUAGUCCACCCCGUAAACGUUGGGAACUAGUUGUGGGGUCCAUUCCACGGAUUCCGUGACGCAGCUAACGCAUUAAGUUCCCCGCCUGGGGAGUACGGCCGCAAAGGCUAAAAACUCAAAAUGAAUUGACGGGGUC